rnacentral:ncRNA from 1 species
GCGCGCUACACUGACCGGAUCAGCGUGUGCUCUCCUUGGCCGACAGGUCCGGGAAACCCGUUGAACCCCGGUCGUGCUGGGGAUAGGGAAUUGCAAUUAUUUCCCUUGAACGAGGAAUUCCCAGUAAGCGCGAGUCAUUAGCUCGCGUUGAUUACGUCCCUGCCCUUUGUACACACCGCCCGUCGCUACUACCGAUUGAAUGGUUUAGUGAGGUCCUCCGAUUGGACCCGGUCCGGGCGGCGACGUCCGAGCCGGCGUCCGAGAAGACGAUCUAACUUGAUCAUUUAGAGGAAGUAAAAGUCGUAACAAGGUUUCCGUAGGUGAACCUGCGGAAGGAUCAUUA